AUUAUAAAUCAUAAAGCAAAAUGAUCAUCUUAAAAUAGAAGAUAUACUGUCUCUUACAUCACAUAAAUUAUGAAGAGGUAAGUAAGUGGUCUUGAAGAGGAUUCUUUUUUUUCUGUCUCGGUACUGACUGUCUCCAAUUUGGACUCGGUCUUGUCUUGGACUCAAACUUUUUGGGACGUGGUCUAGACUUGGACUUGAACCGCUUUGGACUUGUCUAGACUCAGCCCGACUUAUCCUUGUCUUGGAGUCGACAAAGGAGGACUUGACUAC